rnacentral:rRNA from 1 species
GACAGAGGUCCCGAGCGUUAGGCGGAAUCACUGGCUUAAAGCGUGUGUAGGCGGACUUCUAAGUACCUUGUGAAAUCCCACGGCUUAACCGUGGAACGGCUGGGUAUACUGGUUGUCUUGGGCCACUUAGGGGCUACUGGAACAAACGGUGGAGCGGUGAAAUGCGUAGAUAUCGUUUGGAACGCCAAUGGUGAAAACAAGUAGCUGGGAGUGUGCCGACGCUGAGACACGAAAGCCAGGGGAGCGAACGGG